rnacentral:lncRNA from 1 species
CCAGGUGUAUUAGCUGCUUAGACAUCACUUGACCCUUUCUCUUCUUAAGAGUCCUUUUUUAUGGUUGAAUUUGUAUAGGCUAGUCAGCUUUUGGUUAUCACUGUUGGCCUCUUGGCUUGUAAAUAGAUGCUUAUAGUCUCUGGUAGUAUAUGUAGCCUUCAACCUUCUCAUGAGUUUGCUGCUGAUAAUCUGAUGUAAGGGCAUUGUAGCUUUUCACUAUUUAAUAUCCUCCUGCCCUAUAUUUCCAAUUACUGAAAUAAUGUUAUGCUAAAAUUUUCUUUUUCUAUUGCUGCAUUGUCUAGAUGAUCUGCCAGCUGAUUCCCUUCCCUCCUUAUGUAUUUAAAAACUACCUGCUUGUGUUUCAACUCUGGUGUGAUGUGCUCUAUGGUGUCUACCAAAUUCCAUGGACAAACCUAUUACUUAGUCAAUAUCUUGAACAUAAACAAAGAAUCUGUUUGAAUAAUGACUUUUUUUGAAUUGGGAGUGUCCAC